rnacentral:rRNA from 1 species
CCUACGGGAGGCAGCAGUGGGGAAUUUUGGACAAUGGGCGAAAGCCUGAUCCAGCAAUGCCGCGUGAGUGAAGAAGGCCUUCGGGUUGUAAAGCUCUUUUGUCAGGGAAGAAACGGUGAGAGCUAAUAUCUUUUGCUAAUGACGGUACCUGAAGAAUAAGCACCGGCUAACUACGUGCCAGCAGCCGCGGUAAUACGUAGGGUGCAAGCGUUAAUCGGAAUUACUGGGCGUAAAGCGUGCGCAGGCGGUUUUGUAAGUCUGAUGUGAAAUCCCCGGGCUCAACCUGGGAAUUGCAUUGGAGACUGCAAGGCUAGAAUCUGGCAGAGGGGGGUAGAAUUCCACGUGUAGCAGUGAAAUGCGUAGAUAUGUGGAGGAACACCGAUGGCGAAGGCAGCCCCCUGGGUCAAGAUUGACGCUCAUGCACGAAAGCGUGGGGAGCAAACAGGAUUAGAUACCCUGGUAGUCCACGCCCUAAACGAUGUCUACUAGUUGUCGGGUCUUAAUUGACUUGGUAACGCAGCUAACGCGUGAAGUAGACCGCCUGGGGAGUCGGUCGCAGAUUAAAACUUAAAGGAAUUGACGGCUGAGAGNGCGACGACGACGACGAGGGAGGAGG